UACGUAGGGUGCAAGCGUUGUCCGGAAUUAUUGGGCGUAAAGAGCUCGUAGGCGGUCUGUCGCGUCGGCGUGUGAAACCCGGGGCUCAACCCCGGGCCUGCAGUCGAUACGGGCAGACUAGAGUGCGGUAGGGGAGACUGGAAUUCCCGGUGUAGCGGUGAAAUGCGCAGAUAUCAGGAGGAACACCGGUGGCGAAGGCGGGUCUCUGGGCCGUAACUGACGCUGAGGAGCGAAAGCGUGGGGAGCGAACAGG
rnacentral:rRNA from 1 species